rnacentral:tRNA from 1 species
GUUAAUAAAAAAUAGUAAUUAUUUGAGUAGUUUAAAAAAAACAUUACACUUUCAUCGUAAAAUUAAUUUUUUCUCA